CGUCUUUUGCUUCUAUUUAUAAAAGAUAAUGCCUGCCCAGUGAAUUUUUAAACGGCCGCGUUAGCGUGAGCGUGCUAAGGUAGCGUAAUAAUUAGCCUCUCAAUUGGAGGCCAGUGAAAGGCAACACUAGGAAUACCUGUACUUUAUAUGAAAAAAAACUUUUUUUCUAGGUGAAAAAUCCUAGAUAAUAAUGGAAGACGAAAAGACCCCGCGGAACUUUACCUUUUCUUUAGACUUUAUACCAAUAUAUAAUUAAUAAGGUUUGAUUGGGGCAAUCUCGGAACCACCUAAACUUCCGACUUUUUUUAAAAAAAUAAAAAACUUGUUUUGGACCAAAAAGAAGUUACCCCGGGGAUAACAGCGUUAUCCAACUUGAGAGUACACAUCGAAAGUUGGGUUUGCGACCUCGAUGUUGGCUUAAGGACAUCCACAUUAGUGCAGCCGCUAUGAAUGGACAGUCUGUUCGACUAUUAUAACCUU
rnacentral:rRNA from 1 species